CAGGCCUAACACAUGCAAGUCGAACGGCAGCGCGGGGAGCUUGCUCCCUGGCGGCGAGUGGCGGACGGGUGAGUAACACGUGGGAAUCUGCCUGGUAGUGGGGGACAACUCGGGGAAACUCGGGCUAAUACCGCAUACGCCCUACGGGGGAAAGCGGGGGACCUUCGGGCCUCGCGCUAUCAGAUGAGCCCGCGGCCGAUUAGCUUGUUGGUGAGGUAACGGCUCACCAAGGCGACGAUCGGUAGCUGGUCUGAGAGGAUGAUCAGCCACACUGGGACUGAGACACGGCCCAGACUCCUACGGGAGGCAGCAGUGGGGAAUAUUGGACAAUGGGCGAAAGCCUGAUCCAGCAAUGCCGCGUGUGUGAAGAAGGCCUUAGGGUUGUAAAGCACUUUCAGUGGGGAAGAAAAGCAGGGUGCCAAUACCACCCUGUCAUGACGUUACCCAUAGAAGAAGCACCGGCUAACUCCGUGCCAGCAGCCGCGGUAAUACGGAGGGUGCGAGCGUUAAUCGGAAUUACUGGGCGUAAAGGGCGCGUAGGCGGCUCGAAAAGUUGGAUGUGAAAGCCCCGGGCUCAACCUGGGAAUUGCGUUCAAUACUGUCGGGCUAGAGUGUG
rnacentral:rRNA from 1 species